GGGAGUGUAGCUUGGUGGUAGAGCACCUGCCUAACAUGCACAAGGUCCCAGGUUCAAUCCCUAGCACACCCA
rnacentral:tRNA from 1 species